CCACACACUCAGUGCACUUUCCCAUCUGCAUUCAUUUGGGGAGCUAAUUCUGGCUGCUGAAUGUCUUCAUUUAAAAUACAGACAUACAUGUAUUUUGUUCAGUGUUUUAAUUAGGCCCAAAGGAAUGUACUUUCAAUUUUUGGUACACUUCAUUUGUUAUAUUAAUGAAAAGCCACUUUAAAUCAAGUUUCCUGUUGAUAUUUCAUUAUGUAUGCUGUUCUUACACAUCUCUAAAGGAGAUUUACGUUACAGGUAGUAACCACAAAUACCGGCCAUGGACAUGCUGUUAAUUUAAAAUGUAAAGUUUUCUUUUGAGGCGCAGCAGACAUAUAGGGUCUCUCUCUUCGCCAGGGCCGCUCACUUCCCUGUGAAAAUGACCCACAGCUGUCGCCCCAUCCGGAGGCCCAACCUACAGGCAGGGAUCUGACGUUCACACCCAGGUUCACGGAAGACAGAGCUCAGCACGGGGCCAGAGCAUAAUGUGCAGGGACUGGCCCCGCUCCCGACAACAUGGGCAGCCUUGACGGUGGCGCUGGCCUUGCCCUCGGCUGUCGCUGAACGUUUCCAGGUGCCAGCACUGCACCAGGCAGGUCAGCCCUAUGCCACCAGAUGGAGCCCACCCCACCUCGCCAAGAUGUAGAUGGUCCACCCCGACCCCGUAUGGCGGAGGAGAAAGCCGACACGCAGGGCUAAUGGACUGUGGAGUUAAGAUCUGAAGCCAGGCCCGGGGCCCCUGACCACCGUGUCCAACCGAGAGAAGCUCUGCUGGAGACAGGCUUCUAGCCCCUGUGUUGUUGGGGUGUUGCGAGGUAAACCUGGCUUAGUAGCUGAAGAAGACGGCGAUCAGCAUGGUCCCGUGCACGGAGGGUCAGCGCUGGGCACUGACUUUGAGCCGGCAGAGGGUGAGGGAGGCAACAGCUGGGAUGACUGGGGCACAACCAGUGGUCUGGCCACGCUUCCUCUGGUGGCCUUCAGGGCCUUACAAACACCGACAGACGUUACCUCCAGGACCCUCACGAGGACCCUCUGCGUCAAGCUGUCAUCGUCACUCCUGUUUUACAGGCUGCUUGGAAAAACUGACCAGGAGCUCUGAGCAAGGGCGGAGGACAGGCUCAUGGAGGGCAGUAGACGGGACUCGGGGCCACGGCAGCAAGGAGGACCCAGGACGGAGGACCGUGGAGCCCCGCGAUGGUGUCACACGCUCCCAGACCAACCGGGGCCACCCUCCUCCGAGCAGUGGGGCAGGCGGCACCCGCUGAGGGCAGGUGCAGACGCAGUGCCUUUGGGUCUGCAGGCCGGGGAGGCCCCCUGGAGGACCAGCUUGCUCUGAGGGGUAACAGCAGGGGCCGACGACCGGGAACUCGAGAGACAGGCCAGCACCCGGCUCUAACGACCGACCGCCUGCUUGCUUCACUGUCAGCCUCCUCGGCAGCAGGACGCUCCCACACCUGUCUGGCCUACGUGUUCUUCAGACCACGUCCUCAUCUGCCGUCAGAAUUCUAUUCUUUAGGACUCCCACCCUGGGCCUUGCCCAAAUCACUUGCUUUUCCCCCCUUACUAGGGGACCCCGUUUUUUUCUGGCAUCUAUGCACUCUGUGCUUCCCUCGUGGCUCAGAUGAUGAAGAAUCGGCCCCACAAUGCAGGAGACCCGGGUUCAAUCCCUGGGUCAGAAAGAUCCCCUGGAGAAGGACAUGGCAACCCAUUCCAGUGUCCUUGCCUGGAGAAUCCCAUGGACAGAGGAGCCUGGCGGGCUACAGUCCCUGGGAUGGCAAAGAGUCAGAUAGGACUGAGCCACUAACACUUUCACUUUCAUGCACUCUGUACCCACCUUGAGUCCUGAGCCCCAUCCAGGAGCACCUGAGCCCCCAUUACGACCCGCGCCACCCUCCCAGGGAAGCACCACACCCUUAGGAGCCUUGCUAGCCCGAGGAGCUGUCCAGAGCGUCAACAGAGGAAGAAUUCCUCGCACCACCCACCAUCCCGCUGACCACGUGAGCCCCGUGGACAGGACAGCCGCAGGCUGUCAGGAUGUCACAGGGUGUCGAAGGAGGGCCACAUGGAGGGGCGCACGCCGUUCACAGACCACUGCCAUGCCGCCGCCUGUCCCUGCCAGUGUCCCCUGACUGCCGAAGCCUUGGCACGAAGGUCUCAGAGUGGGGCCCGGUCCCCGCGCAUGGCUGGCGCGUUCUCAGAUGCCACCCUCCUGUGGUCCCUGCCCUUCUGCUGAGCCUGGUUGUCUUUCUGUGGAUUCUAUGAGCCACUUGAUAUCCUUCUAGUAGUCCCUGUUUCUGCUUGAAUGAGUCCACGGUUUAUGCCAUUGGCAAGCAAGGGUGGGCCACAGCUCCCUCCCAGGGCUGCUGGAAGCACUGCUGGCUGGAGGGGGGCACCCGGGGCAGAGGUCAUUUGUGAGGGAGCACUACAGGGGGAGCACCGUGAGGGAGCAUCAUGAGGGAGCUGGAGCCCUGGGCUGACCCGAGGCCUGGGGGCCCCGGACCCCAAGCCUGGUCCUGGAGGGUUAGCGUGUGUGACAUGGAGGCCAAGAGUCCUGAGCACAGGGAGCCGGCUCCGCUGACCAGCUCAUCACCAAGAAAUCCAGGAGGCCUCCUCGCGCCCCCAGAGGGGUGGAAGUUUGGCACCAGCAGGGACCGAGGGCCCUGGGGGCUGAGGCGGAGGGACCUGGGGUGGGGGAAACAGCCAUUUCUUUUAUCUUUGCAUGUUUAGAGGUACGGCGUAGACACUCACACUGCACCAACGUCAGGGUCCUGGUUUUGAUACUGAAUAUAGUUAGCUAAGACGUUGCCACUGGAGAAGCCAGUGAAGGAGACACCUGUGGACCUCUGUGUAUUAUUUGUGUAACUUCCUGUAAGUCUAUAGUUAUUUAAAAAUAAAAAGUCAUUUAAAAAGAUACGGGAUACAGUGUUUUCAUAAUGAAAACCUGGCCAUGUCAGAUCACAGAAGGAAGCUCCCCUAAAUUCCAAAAGGGAAACGUAAGAGCUGGGACAUAAUUUUCCACCCCAGGCUACUGAACUUCUGGUUUCCCUUGCCCUGUGCAGGGCUGGGAAAGACCUAGGAAACGUUGGCAGAGAGCCCCGACUUGGCCUCCACCCCCAGGCCUGACC
ensembl:lncRNA